AAUUAAACCCACUCUUUUGUAAUCUCCCUCUCUUUCUUUCUCUGUUGAUUCACAACGUGGCUCAGGCCGAGAAAAUGAGACGACAGAAGCUGUAUUCAAAUGUGAUCCGCGAGCAGAACAAGAAGAUAAGUAGGAUUCCCUUUCUGCCAGCCGCCAGGAACGCAGUGGGCAGCAACAACAAGGACAACAUGGUUCCUAGGAGGAAGGCCCUGGAGUACGCCAAGAGCAUCCUGAGGCCCAAGGUAUUGCCCCAGGCCCAGCAGCCCAAGACCAGAGAGCCAGAGAGAGCCCAGGGGGCCCUUAGGGGCAACACUCGCCUCCGGGAGGGCCUCGACCUAUCCCAGCUGGCCACAGUGGAUGCCCUGAGGAAACGGCACGAGCAGGAGAAACAGACUGUGGCCAAUGUGGUGCAUGCCAUCUGACACAGCACCGGCCCAUUCACUUUACAGCACACUGGAGUCACCCAACUGGAGUCACCCUUAAAGCUGACAUGGCCGUUCGACUUUUGAAGAAACUCAGCAUAUGGACUAUAUAGACAAUAUGGAGGAAUAAGCAGGGGAUUAGUGCAGCAAUCAUUCAUUAAUGCUUGUGUCUAUAACUGCAGUUUGAGGUGUUACAGUGUAGCCUGUCUGUUUGUGGUUGAUGACAUAAGCAUUUACUGUAUGAAAGUUUUUUUACAACUAGUGAUGCUAUUAAACAUAGCUUACGUGUUUCAUCAUAUGAUUUGAUGCACUUAAACCAUAGGUAAACAUGGUACUUAUUCAGUACCAUACCGUAACUUACACUAUAGGCAAACAUAGUACUGUAAUCCCAAACCAAGUGGAUUUUUAUAGUUUGCAGUUGAUAAUAAGGUAAUAUAUUGAUAUUUGAAUAAUAUGCAAAUGGUUUGUACACAUUUCAGAUAAAUCAUGCUCUGGCUAUUGAUGAAUCCUCAAGUACUUGAAUAUCUCUCUGCUAAUAUUCUUAACCUUACAAUUGCUCAUGAGUCAUGACCUGAGUGAACAUGACCUGAAAAUGUCUAAUACAGUACAGCUGCUCAAGUCAAUUCAGACAUAACACAUAUGGUUUGUUGUUGUAGUACAAUAUUACACAUAUCAGUACAAUACCACACAUAAUAGUGCAAUAUUACAAUCUGAGAGAACAUGUACACCUAAAACAUGUAGGUUGUUUGAUGACAAGGAGUAGGCAACUGAGUAAAAAUACUGUGGGUAAACCAUUGGUACUUUUUUUGGGAAACAGUACAGUGUACUCCACCUGUUUUUCUCUGUUGUUUUGAUUGCACUUGACAUUGAAACAUCCACUGUAAAUUCAACAAUACGUCAUUAAAUCAAAAAGCUUCCGGUA
rnacentral:lncRNA from 1 species